rnacentral:rRNA from 1 species
GGUGAGUAACACGUGGAUAACCUACCUAUAAGACUGGGAUAACUUCGGGAAACCGGAGCUAAUACCGGAUAAUAUUUUGAACCGCAUGGUUCAAAAGUGAAAGACGGUCUUGCUGCCACUUAUAGAUGGAUCCGCGCUGCAUUAGCUAGUUGGUAAGGUAACGGCUUACCAAGGCAACGAUGCAUAGCCGACCUGAGAGGGUGAUCGGCCACACUGGAACUGAGACACGGUCCAG